rnacentral:lncRNA from 1 species
ACCAUUACAGAUAAGAGCGUCAAGAAUGGCAAAAUCGUCACAACACUGUCUUACAAGGAGAUAUCAUGCCAAACGAAUGUAAACCCAAUAGCGAACACGUGGAUUGGUUUAGAUCUGUGACUAUUUUGUAUCUAUCAAAAAAUUUAUACCUAUUUGACCCUCGUAACCAACCCACAUCUUCAAACUUCCAACACACCAGACCAUCAAGCAACACUUACACCCAACAACCAACAUUUAACACCCAAUAACCAACAUUUAAAACUAAACAACC